GACGAACGCUGGCGGCGUGCUUAACACAUGCAAGUCGAACGGAAAGGCCCUGCUUUUGUGGGGUGCUCGAGUGGCGAACGGGUGAGUAACACGUGAGUAACCUGCCCUUGACUUUGGGAUAACUUCAGGAAACUGGGGCUAAUACCGGAUAGGAGCUCCUGCUGCAUGGUGGGGGGUGGGAAAGUUCGGCGGUUGGGGAUGGACUCGCGGCUUAUCAGCUUGUUGGUGGGGUAGUGGCUUACCAAGGCUUUGACGGGUAGCCGGCCUGAGAGGGUGACCGGCCACAUUGGGACUGAGAUACGGCCCAGACUCCUACGGGAGGCAGCAGUGGGGAAUAUUGCACAAUGGGCGGAAGCCUGAUGCAGCAACGCCGCGUGCGGGAUGACGGCCUUCGGGUUGUAAACCGCUUUCGCCUGUGACGAAGCGUGAGUGACGGUAAUGGGUAAAGAAGCACCGGCUAACUACGUG
rnacentral:rRNA from 1 species